UAGAAGGUUGCUAGAACAACCAUCACUAAGAGCUAGUAACCAUAAGGGCAUGGUGAGAGGAAUAAAGUUUGUCCUCAUCAAUUUGUUGCUGCCCCUGAACGAGAUAGAAGAUUGUGGAAGCAAACAGCAAGGUUUUAUUGUUAAGCUUCAGUAAAGGAAAGUGUGAAUGAUGGAAAGAAAGAAUCUGGAAUGACGGCUAUUUAUAGUUUGCUUAGCUAUUAAGUUCUCUUUGAUGGAAAUAAACCUGCAACUAUAAAUAGCAUAAUGGAGGUGACUAACCUAUUCCUUUCCAUAUUAGAAGGUUGAUAGAACAACCAUCACUAAGAGCUAGUAACCAUAAGGGCAUGGUGAGAGGAAUAAAGUUUGUCCUCAUCAAUUUGUUGCUGCUCCUGAACGAGAUAGAAGACUGUGGAAGCAAACAUCAAGGUUUUAUUGUUAAGCUUCAGUAAAGGGCUGAGGAGCUCUCAAGUGCGUUGAAAAGACGCUUCGGCACGAACACUUUUUGGAGAAAAUACUACUAGCAGCAUCUUUGAAAUAUUCUUGUAGAAACAGAAAAUCCUGUAGUUGUGGUUUUCCUCACAACUAAUGAUAUGGCACAGUGGAAACUAUUUAAAACAAACCGACACGCGGAGAAUUUACUCCGGUAAAUAGGACCCAAAGAUGAUAAUCAACUCCAAUUCAGGAGCAAAGCGACGAUAAACGAUCAACGACUAUCAAUCUCUCAAAGAGAAUCAAACAGGUUUUUAACCAAAUGAUAUUUUCUUUAAACGAGCUAAUCCAAGCUAAAUUACAAAGAUAAUAGAAAAGGCUAUUUAUAGCCUGCAAACAUAAAACCUAGAAAAUCCUAACAUUUCUAAACUAGCGUAAGAGAAUAUAUUAUUCUCAUAACAAAAGAUAAAUCUAAACAAGAAAGUAAUUAUCCUAAUAAAUGAAAUACUAAAACCAAUAGAUAUCCAAGAUUUAGCCAAAUCUUGGAGUAUACGUGACUUGCCCAAAUACAUGACUUGAUCUGAUACCACCUGAUACGGCACAACGGAAACAAUUUAAAACAAACUGACACGCGGAGAAUCCACUCCGGUAAAUAGGACCCAAAGAUGAUAAUCAACUCCAAUCCAGGAGCAAAGCGACGAUAAACGAUCAAAGAUGAUCAAUCUUUCAUAGAGAAUCAAACAGGUUUUUAACCAAAUGAUAUUUUCAUUAAACGAGCUAAUCCAAGCUAAAUUACAAAGAUAAUAGAAAAGGCCAUUUAUAGCCUGAAAACAUAAAACCUAGGAAAUCCUAACAUUCCUAAACUAGCGUAAGAGAGUAUAUUAUUCUCAUAACAGAAGAUAAAUCUAAACAAGAAAGUAAUUAUCCUAAUAAAUUAAAUACUAAAUCCAAUAGAUAUCCAAGAUUUAGCCAAAUCUUAGAGUAUACGUGACUUUCCCAAAUACGUCCCGUAUCAACUACACUCCACUAUAACUAUUACUAAUUCUAAGUGAACAUUAUUAACUUCUUUAUUAAUCUUUGAUCUUGAUUACAAACAUAGCCCAAGUAUUACAAUGAUCUUACUUGAUUCUCAAAUCUACUUUCUCUGUCCCCCACUCUUGUCUAACACUUACUCUAAAGAACCUCUCCUCUGAAUAAUAAUCUUACCCCUAGAUAUAGGGUCUAAUAUAGUGGAUGACAGCUAAGAGAUCCUUUAUUCUCAGAAUCCCUAUGCGACGUAUUCGUUCAUAUACAAUUACUCAACCUCGCACGGAUCAUGUCUCGCAUGGAUCUUCAUGCUUUAUUCAUGAUUUGGCUGACAUCAUUUACCACCUCAUAUGAACCUUGCUAUGUGCGACCUCUCUCGCACAGGUCAAAUAAUAUCUACUUCGCAUAGUUACUUAUAUGUGCGAUAUUUUGCUCCUACAUUUUGCCUCUUCUCAUAUGGCUUAUUCUAUAGAGUGAGCGGUAUGAGAAAUUUCCGUCCUAUAUUAUCGCAUAUGCUUGUCUUUUCAUUUUUACUUUGAGACUGAAAAUAUCUUCAAUAAAGACUGACAUGAUGGUACUGUCCAACACAUCAAUAUGACUAUAGAUAAGAAACAGAGAGGGGAGAAUUCACAUUGAAUGGAACAUACACUGUUAAAGAGACCCAGGUAGGUAGGAAGAGUGAGCGGUGCUGGUGCAAGUAAUUUGGCUUGCAAAGCAGUUCUUUCAGUUCUUUCAUAACUUAUUAUAGGAUUGAAUUUCCAAAAUAGUGACCUAAUACUAAAAUUGGGAUGUCACUUUGGUAGAUACUACUAAAGUGAGUUUACAACCUAAAGAGUGUACAUGUUUACGAACAACAUCGAAUAGAGGUCCACUUCAUUAGGUCCUAAGCCAUGCUCCUAAGUUUGGAACUAAUGCGAAAACAUAAUAACCUCUGAAAUAAUAUUAGAAGCAAUUGGUUGACAAUUUUACUUACUUCAUGUAAGGAUGCACCUCUUCGCAAUUGUUAAGGAUGUACCAAUGUAUCUGAUCUCGUUCUUCUAGUGACAAUGA